rnacentral:rRNA from 1 species
CAGGACGAACGCUGGCGGCGUGCUUAAACACAUGCAAAGUCGCGGGGGGUGAGCAAAUCACUCACCGGCGAAACGGGUGCGUAACACGUGAGCGACCUGCCCACUUGUGGGGUAUAGCCGGCCCAACGGCCGGGUAAUCCCGCAUACGCUUCUCUGGCUGCAUGGCCGGGGGAGGAAAGCCGUAAGGCGCAAGUGGAGGGGCUCGCGGCCUAUCAGCUAGUUGGCGGGGUAACGGCCCACCAAGGCGAUGACGGGUAGCUGGUCUGAGAGGAUGGCCAGCCACAUUGGGACUGAGAUACGGCCCAGACUCCUACGGGAGGCAGCAGUGGGGAAUCUUGCGCAAUGGUCGAAAGACUGACGCAGCGACGCCGCGUGCGGGAGGAAGCCCUUCGGGGUGUAAACCGCUGUUACUCGGGACGAACUUCUCGAUUCAUCGAGAUUGACGGUACCGGGGGGAGGAAGCACCGGGCUAACUCUGUGCCCAGCAGCCGCGGUAA